UUCAGGAGAUGUUUUACUGGAAAGUUGAUCAGAUGUUUUACUGGAAAGUCGAUCAGAUCUUUUACUGAAGGGGUUGAUCAGAUGUUUUACUGGAGGGUUGAUCAGAUGUUUUACUGAUGGGUUGAGCUGAUGUUUUUACUGGAUAAUUGAGAAGACAUUUUACUGAAGGGUUGAUCAGAUGUUUUACUGAAGGGCUGAGCAGAUGUUUUACUGAAGGGGUUGAUCAGAUGUUUUACUGAAGGGCUGAGCAGAUGUUUUACUGAAG